rnacentral:lncRNA from 1 species
AAAAACUGUACCUCUGAUGAUAGACGAGGUAGGAUCAAAUAAAAUUCCCCUCACCCUCAGAUUGACUCUCGAUUGAAUCUCUAGUUGUAUCAAUUUCGUGUCGCUGAAGGAUGAGAGUUCUCCUGACAAAGGAAUAAGCGGGGAUUACACCAAUUUCGAGCGAUGUCAAGUCGGAAGAAAUCGACCGGGCCUUCAACACGCGGUUCAUGCCAUCACCCGUCGAUCGACAGUUCGGUGAAACCUUUACAUGACUACCAGCAACUUUUGAUAUCUGCAAUCGGCGUUAACUGUAUAAUUUCGCAAGCAGCUCCGAAGUUAACAAAGCGUUCUGAUGAAACUGUAGCGAGUACAACUUCUAUGGGCCUUGCCGAUUUCAGCAUGCUUUUAUUUGUUACUGGCGUGUACAUAAGGAUGAUGCACUCUACCAUGAGCAAGUUUCUUGGCUUGGAGACUUACAUCACCGCUGCUUCCCUAGUGAUGGCAGAUUAUGCAGUCCUACUUCUGAUCAACACUAGAUAUAUCGGAGUAUUCAUCAUUCCAGUGAUCCUGCUUGUCUUCAUCGCAGCACUCUGCACCAAAUUGUGGGACAAGUCUAGUCCUUACAUUCAGCAGGAUUACAGAAUCAGCAGAGUUUCCUUACUACAUGUCCCCAACACUGAGUGGCUUCUCAAGUUGGCAAUGCUGCCGUGCUGGUUGCAGCUUUUGUCCAGCACAAUACUGAAUCCAGAUAAUGAACAGCAAGACGAUACCAUUGUGUUCUCGCAGUUCCUCCUGUUCUUCAGCUCCGCACUCGGUGCGCUUGCAGUGAUGGUUGCCAAAUUACCCGCAGGUGUCAGCCCCGGUGCAGCUCAGGUUCUUCCAGUCCUGCAAAAGACCUGCAUUGUUCUGCUGCUGAUAACAGUUCACACGAUGGCUGCAGAAUGGAUUGGGGAAGAUGUCAUAGUAGCCUGCAUUCCAGGACUCGUUGCAGUGCUCGUGUGGUUCACCGUACAUUUCGACCAUGACGCGAGGAAUGCAACUGCAGUUAGCAUCGACAAUGUGUUGUCUUACAGAUCGCAAGCCGUCACCAUUCUCAGCUCUACCGUAGGGCUUCUCGCAUACCUGACUGGCUCAUAUGCUGCGUACGAGAGGGAACUUGUGAAAUCCCGGUGCAGGUGGAGCUUGUGCAUGGUUAGCUCCUCCUCUGCUCUUUCACACGUCAACUUGUGGAUGCUUCAGCACUGGCCGGAAAGAACAUUUCACUUGGAAGAGCUGCUAAAGCUGUUCAGGUUUUGCAGGAAAAUUUGCUUGAGCGCAACACUUGUGCUGGCUUUGAUGUCGAUCGGUGGAUGGGUUCGUAAUCUAAUAGCCGGUUCCAUAGCUAUUGUUUCAGCGUUGGUGGGGUUUGCGCUUUUCGUAACCAUGGGUCGUAAGCCUGAGCCUCGUAAUGUUGGUAGGACUAGGAAGAACGCUGCCAGCAGGUUUGGGCAGGACGAUCAAAAUCCAUCCUCGCAAAGAUUUUCGAAAGAAUCUCGGCCGUCCGGGGGUUUUUUUGCACCUGCCUUUGAGUCUUUUGGAGACUUUAUUGACAGGAAUUUGGGAAUUGCAAAUUAAGUCAGCUAGU